rnacentral:rRNA from 1 species
UGGGGAAUAUUGCACAAUGGGCGCAAGCCUGAUGCAGCCAUGCCGCGUGUGUGAAGAAGGCCUUCGGGUUGUAAAGCACUUUCAGCGAGGAGGAAGGUGGUGAGCUUAAUACGCUCAUCAAUUGACGUUACUCGCAGAAGAAGCACCGGCUAACUCCGUGCCAGCAGCCGCGGUAAUACGGAGGGUGCAAGCGUUAAUCGGAAUUACUGGGCGUAAAGCGCACGCAGGCGGUUUGUUAAGUCAGAUGUGAAAUCCCCGGGCUCAACCUGGGAACUGCAUUUGAAACUGGCAAGCUAGAGUCUCGUAGAGGGGGGUAGAAUUCCAGGUGUAGCGGUGAAAAUGCGUAGAGAUCUGGAGGAAUACCGGUGGCGAAAGGCGGCCCCCCUGGACGAAGACUGACGCUCAGGUGCGAAAAGCGUGGGGGAGCAAAACAGGAUUAGAUACCCUGGUAGUCCACGCUGUAAAACGAUGUCGAUUUUU